UUUACCGUAAUUGCCCUCUUCGCUGACCUUAAAAUGACUCAUUUAACCUCCAAUGGCGGGUUUAGACUAGUGCUGCGCACAGCAAAGGCAGAAAACAAAAACCCUAAACCCUAGCUUCGUCGCCUUCUCAUUUCAUUCUUAUACAUGGCAUCGCUGCAAGUUCAGGGUCGGAUUUCUAAGCUUAUUUCGAAGCCCCUUUACCGUUGGGUGGAAUUACGCCGCUGUUUGAGUUCUCGCUCCCUCGAAGAUGACGGCGGCAUCAGAGAACGAUCCGUGAGAACGGGAGGUGGAGAUGGAGGUGGAAGUGUAAGUGGCGAAAAACUCACAUAUUUUCCUCCGGAGCCCAUUCCGAAUCGGCCUUUGAGAGGCCAAGGAAACUCAAAGUCUGACAUUCAUAUUCGCAACAGAAGACCGUCUGCCGAUAGUGACAAAGACAGCUUUGAAUUCCUGGAGAAAUUCAAGCUUGGUGCUGGUGGUGGUUUAAACAAGGGGGAAAAGUUCCCCAACCGGCUCCAACAACAACAACAAGAGGAAGGGAAGGCGGAUACACCAACGCCGCCUCCGGCCCAAGAUGCGGAUGAGAUCUUCAAGAAACUCAAGGAGACGGGUCUCAUCCCCAAUGCUGUGGCCAUGCUCGAUGGCCUUUGCAAAGACGGCCUGGUUCAAGAAGCCAUGAAGCUCUUCGGUUUAAUGCGCGAGAAGGGUACCAUUCCCGAAGUUGUUAUUUACACUGCUGUUGUCGAUGGCUUCUGCAAGGCCCACAAAUUUGAGGAUGCCAAAAGGAUUUUCAGGAAAAUGCAAAACAAUGGCAUUUCUCCUAAUGCCUUCUCUUACUCUGUCUUGAUACAGGGUCUGUAUCAGUGCGACGAGUUGGACGACGCUGCUGCCUUUUGCAUCGAGAUGUUGGAAGCUGGUCAUUCUCCAAAUAUCACCACCUUUCUGGGCUUGGUCGCUAGGUUGUGUUUGAAUAAGGGUGUUGAAGAAGCUCGGACCGUAAUUGCAACCUUAACGCAAAAGGGAUUUUUCGUCAACAAGAAAGCUAUUAAAGAAUAUAUGGAGAAAAAGCCAACACAUCCAUCUGUUUGGGAAGCUAUCUUUGGGAACGAAAGCCGAGAGGCAACAUUUCGUUUUUGAGGUUUCUGAUAAAUAUUGUAAGGUUUUCUUUCUAUCCUCGCCUGCCAUGAAUAUAUUUCCUUGCUUUUCUUUUAUCCAUCCUCACAUGCCAGACAGCAUGUGAAGCGCGUUCAGUCAUUCAGAGUCAUUAGUGUAAUUGCUGUGGUACUGUUAUAAUUUCUAAUGCUUUAUGUGGUUGAGGGAAUUUUUAAUCCCACUGGGUAGCGUUAUUUUGUUAAACAGACAGACUGGUUUUCUUUCUGUAAGCUAGUACUAGCAGUAGACAACAACUGAAAUUAUUUUCUAAAUAUCUCCAUACUAACCUUCAUUUUGAACAAUAUGGAGGCCGGAGCCUAUGGUCAGCGAAUACUUCUGCUUCUCCACUUGGUCUAAUGUUUCCCUAUUCCCCCCAUCUCUAUUUCUAUAUCUGUUGGACUUGCACCCUGUGUACUGGGUCAAGCUUUCCAUGCUCAUCCUCGGCGACGCUAGUAAUUUCUAAACGAAUACUUUCUAUUCAACGUAUAGAAGGAAAAUGAGGCUAAAAUUUUUAUGUUGCAAGAAGUUACCAUCCAUUCUUAAGUGAAUCUUCAUGGGUGGGUGCUAGGGGUAGGAUGCGGCAGUGGUGAGUAUUUGUCUGUCUGGUGGUGGUAGUAGUAGUAGUAUAUAUGAAUUUUCGGAGGCGGCUGUGGUCCCAGUAGUAGCAAAGGUGCUUUGGAGGAAGAUUAGGAGGUAGAGGAGGAGGAGAGUUAUGAGUGCAUAACUUAGUUCACUUUCUUUCAAUUUACAGUUGUUACAGGUGUAAUUUAGUUCCAGAAUUAUCAGUGGAGAUAAAACUAUGUUGGUGAAAGCACACUGAUGUGCAAAGCACCGAGGCUGAAGCGUUCUGCUUACCAAAAGUGAAGUGCAGUUACAUAAGCGCGCUUUAACCUCACUAGUUGAUCACUUGACUGUCAUGUGUGUUUCACUUCAAUCAGGGCCUGCAUGCUUGUGCUUUGUGCCUAAGCUCUAGGCAGCGCUUGCAUAUAAGUGCGCCUUGUGCUUUCACCAACCCCAGAGAAAACUUUCAUCAAGGGGUUUAUUUGGACAUGGAGAUCUUAAAUUGCCAUCGCCGAAGGCUUUGGUCAUCUAAGAGUCCGCUUCUUAUGCGCACCACAGGGUCGGGAAUUGUUUAAUUCAAGCUAGCCAAGUGAAGAAGAUGAUAUGAAUGUACAGAUAGUUUAAAUGCUGAUCAAACUUCACCAAAGAUAAUUCUCAAUGCCCUAGCAGAUCUCUGUGAUUCAGUCUGCCUUAAUUUUUAAUUUUUGCUGCCAAGUUGAUGGUAGUCGGAUCCAGACAAGAAGGAACUGCCUCAUUACAUUUACUUUUAUCUAUAUUGUAAUUGAUACCUGAUGAGUUUAUGUUGUAUUGAGCAUGUGGUGCUCCAGCGGCCUAA